AUAAAGUUUUAUUUUAGCUUAAAAAUUUAUUAUUAAAUUAUUUUAUAUGUAAAUUUUUGUAUGAAUUAAUAAUUUUUUUAAUAAUAAUUAUUAUAUUAUAUUCGCAGUAAUUAAUAUUAUUAAUUAAAGUAAUUUAGAAAUAGUAAUUUUAUUUAGUAUUGGUUAAAUUUAUGCCAGCAUCCGCGGUUAUAUAAAUAAUAUAAAUAAAUUUUUUUUGAUAAUAGUUAAAUUUUAUAAUUUUAUUAAUUUUUAAAUUUAUUAAGUGAAAUUUUUAAAUUUAUUAAAUAUAUUAAAUUAUUUAAUUGAAGCUAAUAAAUUUUUAUUUUAAACUAGGAUUAGAUACCCUAUUAUUAAAAAUUUAAAUUAUAAUAUCAAGGUAGUAUUAGUUAUGAUCUUUAAACUUAAAAAAUUUGGCGGUAUUUUAGUCUAUUCAGAGGAACUUGUUUUAUAAUCGAUAAUCCACGUUGGACCUUACUUAAAUUUGUUAAUCAAUUUAUAUACCGUCGUUAUAAGAAUAUUUUAUAAGAAUAAUAAUUUUCUUAAAUUUUUAUAAAAUUUAUAUCAGAUCAAGGUGUAGUUUAUGUUUAAGUAAAAAUGAGUUACAAUUUAUUUAUAAUUGAAUUUAAUUAUUAAAAAGUUAAUGAAAUUGGAUUUGAAUGUAAAAUUAUAAAGAUAAAUAAUUUGAUUUUAGCUCUAAAAUAUGUACAUAUCGCCCGUCGCUCUUAUUAUUAAAAUAAGAUAAGUCGUAACAUAGUAGAUGUACUGGAAAGUGUAUCUAGAAUGA
rnacentral:ncRNA from 1 species